UCACUUAAAUCUGAUUCACUUGCAAGUCAAGACAUCCCCCUCUGAUGUCGCUGGUUCAGUGAGAAUGAAGGACGAACAACAGUAACAAAAGGUGAGGCAUAAAAAGCAAAAGAUAUAGCAAGGUUAUUUAGAGAACCCUCCGCACCAAUCUGAGGGAACCGAGGCAGAGAAAGCGCUGGAGUUGGCUUCCACUCAAGGACAUGCUGUUUCAGGGGCUGGUGAUGAUCCUCAUAAGACACAGGAGCUUGACUCAUGAUGACAUUGGAGCCAGGAUUGCAGGCAGGAUGGUACAGGCAGCCAGCUUGGCAUGGAAGCCCUAAGAAGCCAGGGAUGUGAGACUAGUGCCCAAGCAGGGUUUUGGUCUUAGAACUGGGACUGUGCUCCAUUGGCCUCGAGAUAAACUAUAAACCCAUUCUCCUGCCCUUUCCCAGAAACUGAGAUGGUUUAGGUGUGGAAGGAGGUUUAUGCCUCCCACAGGUUGGGGAAAUAAAUUUGUAUAUUUGUGAUUUUA